AUUGAACGCUGGCGGCAGGCUUAACACAUGCAAGUCGAGCGGAGUGAUGGUGCUUGCACUAUCACUUAGCGGCGGACGGGUGAGUAAUGCUUAGGAAUCUGCCUAUUAGUGGGGGACAACAUCUCGAAAGGGAUGCUAAUACCGCAUACGUCCUACGGGAGAAAGCAGGGGAUCACUUGUGACCUUGCGCUAAUAGAUGAGCCUAAGUCGGAUUAGCUAGUUGGUGGGGUAAAGGCCUACCAAGGCGACGAUCUGUAGCGGGUCUGAGAGGAUGAUCCGCCACACUGGGACUGAGACGCGGCCCAGACUCCUACGGGAGGCAGCAGUGGGUAAUAUGGGACAGUGGGGGGAACCCUGAUCCAGCACUGCCGCGUGUGUGAAGAAUGCCUUAUGGUUGUAAAGCACUUUAAGCGAGGAGGAGGCUACUCUAGUUAAUACCUAGGGAUAGUGGACGUUACUCGCAGAAUAAGCACCGGCUAACUCUGUGCCAGCCGCCGCCGUAA
rnacentral:rRNA from 1 species